CCCGGCCUGGCGGAGUGGCUAACGCGUCCGGCUGUAGACCGGAAGAUCCCAGGUUCAAUUCCUGGGGCCGGGA
rnacentral:tRNA from 1 species